rnacentral:rRNA from 1 species
AUUGAACGCUGGCGGCAGGCCUAACACAUGCAAGUCGAGCGAGCGGCGGACGGGUGAGUAAUGUCUGGGAAACUGCCUGAUGGAGGGGGAUAACUACUGGAAACGGUAGCUAAUACCGCAUACCAUCAGAUGUGCCCAGAUGGGAUUAGCUCGUAGAUGGGGUAAUGGCUCACCUAGGCGACGAGACCUAGCUGGUCUGAGCGGAUGACGAGCCACACUGGAACUGAGACACGGUCCAGACGCCUACGGGAGUCAGCAGUGGGGAAUAUUGCACAAUGGCCGCAAGCCUGACGCAGCCACGCCGCGUGUGUGAAGAAGGCCUUCGGGUUGUAAAGCACUUUCAGCGGGGAAGCGGUACCCGCAGAGGAAGCAACGGCUAACUCCGUGCCAGCAGCCGCGGUAAUUC